rnacentral:lncRNA from 1 species
UUUACGGAACGGUGCGUCGUCGCACUCUCUAAGUAAUCAAAAGUAGAAAGUGGAUAUAAUUUUUUUUUUUUUUUGGUGAACGAGAUAAUAUAAUUUGAUGUGCAGUGAAGUGAGAGAACAAGCGAAUCCAAAUGGAACCAAUAUUUUAACCAUGAGCUAGUGGUCCUGGUAAAUGACGGAUUACGAACUUUCUUUAAAAUUAAAAACUAAAGGUUUUAGGUUUGAAAUCUACUGUUGAUGUGAAAGCUAUAAACUUAUAGCCAAGGAAAAAUUGAAACAUCCUUGUGAAUCUUUUAGACCUUCAAAAAGAAUGAAUAACCGUGGUUUAAUACUAAUGGUUCGCUUUUAUUUAAAAAAGAAAAAGGAACCAAUAUUUUUACUAUUAAGUCGCAACGUUCAAUUUAACUUUGGUCGGUUACGUACAAAUGUACCCUGUGCAUCCUACAAAAAUCUUUUGAAGUGCGCAGUGCGCAGAGCAUGGCUCACGUUAGCAGCUCCCGAGAACACACAGCGUUUUAACUUUUCCCACUGUGGACCUACUUUAUUAAUAAGCUAAGGGUGAAAAAUUAAGGAAAUUUGUGUUCCUCAAAGGUCAAAUUUACCCAUUCAGCUUGGUUUAGUCCUACUGUGUGAAAGUUUAAAAUGCAAGGACAAAAUGGGUACUUCAACAAACGAACACAAUAACAAAUACAGGUGUUAAAAUAAUUUCUUGAAAUUUUGAUUUCAUUUUCCUUCUACAAGUUAAAUCUCCUAAUAAGUGGCAGAGGACGGUUUGAUAUUUUUACACAAGAAGAGGGACCAAAAUGAAAAUUAAAAAUUCUCUCCAUUUUCUCUGUAUUGUCCCUCAUUUAACUCCUUUUAAACAUCAUUUUUUUCCUCCAGAGUCCCCUAACAUAUACUUCCUUUCCAUUUUUACCCCUCCACCUGUCCAACCCAUACCCUAAUCAAUGUACUACAUGAACAGUUCAGAUUGCAUCAAGGUAUAGUAGUUG